CGGGGUGUAGCACAGUUGGUUAGCGCACCUGGUUUGGGACCAGGAGGUCCCCCGUUCGAGUCGGGGUACCCCGA
rnacentral:tRNA from 1 species